GACGAACGCUGGCGGCGUGCUUAACACAUGCAAGUCGAACGGGAUCCAAAGGCUUUUUGUUUUUGGUGAGAGUGGCGAACGGGUGAGUAACACGUGAGUAACCUGCCCCCUUCUUUUGGAUAACCGCAUGAAAGUGUGGCUAAUACAGGAUAUUCCAGGCUGGUCGCAUGAUUGGUUUGGGAAAUGGUUUGGUCUGGUGGGGGAUGGGCUCGCGGCCUAUCAGCUUGUUGGUGGGGUGAUGGCCUACCAAGGCGGUGACGGGUAGCCGGCCUGAGAGGGUGGGCGGUCACACUGGGACUGAGAUACGGCCCAGACUCCUACGGGAGGCAGCAGUGGGGGAUGUUGCACAAUGGGCGCAAGCCUGAUGCAGCGACGCCGCGUGAGGGAUGAAGGCCUUCGGGUUGUAAACCUCUUUCGCUGGGUUGAAAGGCCAUGCUUUGGGUGUGGUUGAUUUGAACUGGUAAAGAAGUACCGGCUAACUACGUG
rnacentral:rRNA from 1 species